AGAGUUUGAUCCUGGCUCAGGAUGAACGCUGACAGAAUGCUUAACACAUGCAAGUCAUUGGCGAAGCUGCGCUUGCGCAGUCUAGCCAAGGCGGACGGGUGAGUAACGCGUAAGGAACUUGCCCUGCAGACAGGGAUAACAGACGGAAACGACUGACAAGACCUGAUACAGUUGCCGGCACGCAUGUGCCUGGCGAUGAAAGGAGACGCUGCAGGAGAGCCUUGCGUCCUAUUAGCUUGUUGGCGGGGUAACGGCCCACCAAGGCGAUGAUAGGUAGCCGGCCUGAGAGGGUGGACGGCCACAAGGGGACUGAGAUACGGCCCUUACUCCUACGGGAGGCAGCAGUGGGGAAUAUUGGACAAUGGGGGCAACCCUGAUCCAGCAAUUCUGUGUGCACGAAGAAGGUUUUCGGAUUGUAAAGUGCUUUCAGCAGGGAAGAAGAAAGUGACGGUACCUGCAGAAGAAGCGACGGCUAAAUACGUGCCAGCAGCCGCGGUAAUACGUAUGUCGCGAGCGUUAUCCGGAAUUAUUGGGCAUAAAGGGCAUCUAGGCGGCCCUGUAAGUCUAGGGUGAAAACCUGCGGCUCAACCGCAGGCCUGCCCCGGAAACUACAGGGCUAGAGUGCUGGAGAGGUGGACGGAACUGCACGAGUAGAGGUGAAAUUCGUAGAUAUGUGCAGGAAUGCCGAUGAUGAAGAUAGUUCACUGGACGGCAACUGACGCUGAAGUGCGAAAGCUAGGGGAGCGAACAGGAUUAGAUACCCUGGUAGUCCUAGCUGUAAACGAUGAUUACUGGGUGUGGGCAUGAAGAGUGUCCGUGCCGAAGCAAAUGCGAUAAGUAAUCCGCCUGGGGAGUACGGCCGCAAGGCUGAAACUCAAAGGAAUUGACGGGGACCCGCACAAGCGGUGGAGCAUGUGGUUUAAUUCGACGCAACGCGAGGAACCUUACCAGAUCUUGACAUCCUACGAAUGCUUAUGAAGAUAGGCAGUGCCUUCGGGAACGUAGAGACAGGUGGUGCAUGGCUGUCGACAGCUCGUGUCGUGAGAUGUUGGGUUAAGUCCCGCAACGAGCGCAACCCUUAUCGUUAGUUACCAUCAUUAAGUUGGGGACUCUAGCGAGACUGCCUGCGAAGAGCAGGAGGAAGGUGGGGAUGACGUCAAGUCAUCAUGCCCCUUAUGAUCUGGGCUACACACGUGCUACAAUGG
rnacentral:rRNA from 1 species